GGAUUUGAACCUCCCAUGGGUUAAAUAGGAUUACAUGUAUAUUGUGUUUACAAUAAUUUUCAGUGUCCGAUCGAGUUCAAUCGUAAGUGCCACUAACAGUUAAAGAAGUUCUAACGAAAUUUACCUCGGGAUAGUUUAGGAAACUAUGUCUAUUCCAAACCUAUUAUAAUCAUUAAAACACUGUCGUUUCAGGUCUACCAUCGCUGCGAAUUUAAGCGUAUUUCAGUAGCUACAGAAAUAUGAAAAGAUUUAAUCGAGGAAAAACGCCGCCGUCGUAAAACAUCACAUCUGGAAUAUAUUACGAACCUAGUGCAAGCUUUCGGUCGACGGGUAGGUAAAUGUUCGUCGGCGGGUUCAUGAAUAACAAUAUCAGCAUGAGUGCAUAUAUGAACACUUUGUGUCGAAAAAACCGUUUUAUCAAGAAACGAGUAUUAUUUAUCGUAAAAAAACAGCCGAGUAUGAAAAUUAAAGAACAUAACUUUAUCUAGAGAAGGACGUGCUAACGAUUCAAUCAAUACAUUUGAUCAAAGAUUUUUUUAACAAUUGUAAAAAAUGGAAACUUUUUUUUAAUUCGUUAAAAUUAUCAAUGCGUAACACCUAUUGGUCGUGUGCAGUGGCUUAUUUAGAAUUUUUUUUUAAGGACCGAUGCGAAAAAUUUCAUCCACAGACACCCACCUCACUUUUGAUAAAAUAUAUUUAUUUUUUAAAUUGGCAAAAUAGCUAAUAAUUUAAACAUUAUAGUUUUAAGAUAAAAUAUGAACAUAUUUUUACCACGCCGAACACACAUUUUACAUAUCAUCAUCAUUGUAGAACCAUAAAAUAUUUUUUUUCCAAUUUAUUUUUUUUAAUUUUGAAUUAAUCCAUUAAUUAAUACUUGUACAUUAUUACAUUGUAAUCAAAUAAUAUAUAAGAUAGAUACGAUAAACAAAUUAGUUGUUGUUGAUUUUGAUUUUUAU